rnacentral:rRNA from 1 species
UUUAUCGCCGAUCGCCUUGAGUUGAUCAUGGCUCAAAUAACGCUGGCGGCGCGCUUACACAUGCAAGUCGAACGAGAAAGGGGAGCAAUCCCUGAGUACAGUGGCGUACGGGUGAGUAACACGUGGAUGAUCUAUCUCUUAGUGGGGAAUAACCCUGGGAAACCGGGGAUAAUACCGCAUAAGCUCGAGAGAGGAAAGCAGCAAUGCGCUGAGAGAGGAGUCCGCGGCCGAUUAGCUAGUUGGCAGGGUAAAAGCCUACCAAGGCAGAGAUCGGUAGCCGGCCUGAGAGGGCACGCGGCCACACUGGCACUGAAACACGGGCCAGACUCCUACAGGAGGCAGCAGUGGGGAAUCUUGCACAAUGGGGGAAACCCUGAUGCAGCGACGCCGCGUGAGCGAUGAAGCCCUUCGGGGUGUAAAGCUCUUUCGGCAGGGAAGAUUAUGACGGUACCUGCAGAAGCAGCUGCGGCUAACUACGUGCCAGCAGCCGCGGUAAUACGUAGGCAGCGAGCGUUGUUCGGAGUUACUGGGCGUAAAGGGUGUGUAGGCGGUUGUUUAAGUUUGGUGUGAAAUCUCCCGGCUCAACUGGGAGGGUGCGCCGAAUACUGAAUGACUUCGAGUACGGGAGAGGUGAGUGGAAUUCCUGGUGUAGCGGUGAAAUGCGUAGAUAUCAGGAGGAACACCGGUGGUGUAGACGGCUCACUGGACCGUAACUGACGCUGAGACACGAAAGCGUGGGUAGCAAACAGGAUUAGAUACCCUGGUAGUCCACGC